rnacentral:rRNA from 1 species
AUUGAACGCUGGCGGCAGGCCUAACACAUGCAAGUCGAACGGUAACAGGUAGAAGCUUGCUUCUUUGCUGACGAGUGGCGGACGGGUGAGUAAUGUCUGGGAAACUGCCUGAUGGAGGGGGAUAACUACUGGAAACGGUAGCUAAUACCGCAUAAUGUCGCAAGACCAAAGAGGGGGACCUUCGGGCCUCUUGCCAUCGGAUGUGCCCAGAUGGGAUUAGCUAGUAGGUGGGGUAACGGCUCACCUAGGCGACGAUCCCUAGCUGGUCUGAGAGGAUGACCAGCCACACUGGAACUGAGACACGGUCCAGACUCCUACGGGAGGCAGCAGUGGGGAAUAUUGCACAAUGGGCGCAAGCCUGAUGCAGCUAUGCCGCGUGUAUGAAGAAGGCCUUCGGGUUGUAAAGUACUUUCAGCGGGGAGGAAGGGAGUAAAGUUAAUACCUUUGCUCAUUGACGUUACCCGCAGAAGAAGCACCGGCUAACUCCGUG